CGGGGAGUAGCGCAGCCAGGUAGCGCACCUGCUUUGGGAGCAGGGGGUCGCGGGUUCAAGUCCCGCCUCCCCGA
rnacentral:tRNA from 1 species